rnacentral:rRNA from 1 species
GAUUAACGCUGGCGGCGUGCAUAACACAUGCAAGUCGAACGAUGAAACUUAACUGAUUUCUUCGGAAUGAUUUUAAGUGGAUUAGUGGCGGACGGGUGAGUAACGCGUGAGUAACCUGCCUUGUAGAAGGGGAUAGCCUUUGGAAACGAAGAAUAAUACCCUAUGAUAUGAUAAUAUCUCAUGAUAUUAUCAUCAAAGAUUUAUCGCCCUAAGAUGGACUUGCGUCUGAUUAGUUAGUUGGUGAGGUAACAGCUCACCAAGGCGGCGAUCAGUAGCCGGCGUGAGAGAGUGUACAGCGACAUUGGGACAGGGACACGACCCCGACUCCUGCGAGAGGCAGCAGUGGGGGAUUUUGCACAGUGGGGGAAACCCUGAUGCAGCGACGCCGCGUGAUUUAGAAGGCCUUCGGGUUGUAAAAAUCUUUUGUAUGGGAAGAAAAUGACAGUACCAGACGAAUAAGGACCGGCUAAUUACGUG